ACGUAGGUGGCAAGCGUUGUCCGGAAUUAUUGGGCGUAAAGAGCAUGUAGGUGGGCUUUUAAGUCCGAUGUGAAAAUGCGGGGCUCAACCCCGUAUGGCAUUGGAUACUGGAAGUCUUGAGUGCAGGAGAGGAAAGGGGAAUUCCCAGUGUAGCGGUGAAAUGCGUAGAUAUUAGGAUGAAAACCAGUUGCGAAGGCGCCUUUCGGGACUGUGUCUGACACUGAGAUGCGAAAGUUACGUUCUCAACCGG
rnacentral:rRNA from 1 species